UACAGAGGUCCCAAGCGUUGUUCGGAUUCACUGGGCGUAAAGGGUGCGUAGGUGGUGAGGUAAGUCGGAUGUGAAAUCUCCGGGCUCAACCCGGAAAUGGCAUUGGAAACUACCUUGCUAGAGGGUUUGAGGGGGGAUUGGAAUACUUGGUGUAGCAGUGAAAUGCGUAGAUAUCAAGUGGAACACCAGUGGGCGAAGGCGAAUCCCUGGAAAACACCUGACACUGAGGCACGAAAGCUAGGGGAGCAAACAGG
rnacentral:rRNA from 1 species